UACGAAGGGGGCUAGCGUUGCUCGGAAUCACUGGGCGUAAAGGGUUCGUAGGCGGGUCUUUAAGUCAGGGGUGAAAUCCUGGAGCUCAACUCCAGAACUGCCUUUGAUACUGAAGAUCUUGAGUCCGGGAGAGGUGAGUGGAACUGCGAGUGUAGAGGUGAAAUUCGUAGAUAUUCGCAAGAACACCAGUGGCGAAGGCGGCUCACUGGCCCGGUACUGACGCUGAGGCACGAAAGCGUGGGGAGCAAACAGG
rnacentral:rRNA from 1 species